rnacentral:rRNA from 1 species
AGGCAUGAUGGCCUGUACCCGAAACCGACACAGGUGGGGUGGUAGAGAAUACCGAGGGGCGCGAGAUAACUCUCUCUAAGGAACUCGGCAAAAUGGCCCCGUAACUUCGGGAGAAGGGGUGCCACCGCAAGGUGGUCGCAGUGAAGAGGCCCAGGCGACUGUUUACCAAAAACACAGGUCUCCGCUAAGUCGCAAGACGAUGUAUGGGGGCUGACGCCUGCCCAGUGCCGGAAGGUUAAGGAAGCUGGUCAGCGUAAGCGAAGCUAGCGACUGAAGCCCCGGUGAACGGCGGCCGUAACAAUAACGGUCCUAAGGUAGCGAAAUUCCUUGUCGGGUAAGUUCCGACCCGCACGAAAGGCGUAACGAUCUGGGCGCUGUCUCGGAGAGAGGCUCGGCGAAAUAGAAUUGUCUGUGAAGAUGCGGACUACGUGCACCCGGACAGAAAGACCCUAUGAAGCUUUACUGUAGCUUGGUAUUGUGCUCGGGCUCGGAAUGCGCAGGAUAGGUGGGAGGCUAUGAACCAUUGCUUGUGGGUGAUGGUGAGCCACUGGUGAGAUACCACUCUUUCCGAGCUAGAGUUCUAACAGCCACCCGUUAUCCGGGGGCUGGACAGUAUCAGGUGGGCAGUUUGACUGGGGCGGUCGCCUCCUAAAAGGUAACGGAGGCGCGCAAAGGUUUGCUCAGGCUGGUUGGAAAUCAGCCGACGAGUGUAAAAGCAGAAGCAAGCUUGACUGUGAGACCUACAAGUCGAACAGGGAGGAAACUCGGCUUUAGUGAUCCGACGGUUCUGCGUGGAAGGGCCGUCGCUCAACGGGUAAAAGUUACUCUAGGAUAACAGGCUGAUCUCCCCCAAGAGUUCACAUCGACGGGGAGGUUUGGCACCUCGAUGUCGGCUCAUCGCAACCUGGGGCUGAAGUCGGUCCCAAGGGUUGGGCUGUUCGCCCAUUAAAGCGGUACGCGAGCUGGGUUCAGAACGUCGUGAGACAGUUCGGUCCAUAUCCGGUGCAUGCGCAGGAAUAUUGAGAGGAUUUCUCCCUAGUACGAGAGGACCGGGAGGAACGCACCUCUGGUGUACCAGUUAUCGUGCCAACGGUAAACGCUGGGUAGCCAUGUGCGGAGAGGAUAACCGCUGAAAGCAUCUAAGUGGGAAGCCCACCUCAAGAUGAGUAUUCCCAUGGGGUAACCCAGUAAGGUCACGGGAAGAACACCCGUUGAUAGGCUCUACGUGGAAGCGCAGUAAUGUGUGAAGCGGAGGAGUACUAAUAGACC